rnacentral:tRNA from 1 species
UGAUGUUUAAGCUAUUAAGCUUUUGGAUUCAUAAUUCAAUGAUAUAUGUAUUAAUGUUUUUAGUAUAUUAUUUUUAU